rnacentral:rRNA from 1 species
AACGUAGGGGGCCAGCGUUGCUCGGAAUUACUGGGCGUAAAGGGUCCGUAGGCGGUGUGGCAAGUCGGUAGUGAAACCUCUGGGCUUAACUCAGAGACUGCUGCCGAAACUGCCGUGCUCGAGUGUGAGAGAGGCGAGUGGAAUUACGGGUGUAGCGGUGAAAUGCGUAGAUAUCCGUAGGAACAUCCGAGGCGAAAGCGGCUCGCUGGAUCACAACUGACGCUGAGGGACGAAAGCUAGGGGAGCAAACAGG